rnacentral:tRNA from 1 species
GCCUGGGUAGCUCAGUCGGUUGAGCGUCUGACUUCGGCUCAGGUCAUGAUCUCAAGGUUCGUGGGUUUGAGUCCCACAUCGGGCU